rnacentral:rRNA from 1 species
GAUGAACGCUGGCGGCGUGCCUAAUACAUGCAAGUCGAGCGAACAGACGAGGAGCUUGCUGCUCUGACGUUAGCGGCGGACGGGUGAGUAACACGUGGAUACCCUACCUAUCAGACUGGGAUAACUUCGGGAAACCGGAGCUAAUACCGGAUAAUAUCUUGAACCGCAUGGUUCAAUAGUGAAAGACGGUUUUGCUGUAACUUAUAGAUGGAUCCGCGCUUCAUUAGCUAGUUGGUAAGGUAACGGCUUAUCAAGGCUACGAUGCGUAGCCGACCUGAGAGGGUGAUCGGCCACACUGGAACUGAGACGCGGUCAAGACUCCUACGGGAGGCAGCAGUAGGGAAUCGUCCGCAAUGGGCGAAAGCCUGACGGAGCGACGCCGCGUGAGUGAUGAAGGUCUUCGGAUCGUAAAACUCUGUUAUUAGGGAAGAACAUAUGUGUAAGUAACUGUGCCCAUCUUGACGGUACCUAAUCAGAAAGCCACGGCUAACUACGUG